AAGUACUAUCAUGGGGAUGCUAAUCUUAAUGAAACAGUGUGUGUUAUAUCCUUCUGAUUGACCCAAGACACAGUAAUAACAUGGAAGUAUUAUAUUGAAUACCUCUAUGGUUAUUCUUACGUCUUUAAAGUUGUAGAACUUCCGCGAUACACUAAUAAUCGAGGAUUAUGCUGUGGCCAGUGGGGGAUUAUGUCAUAUCCAUAUAGGCGCGUGUUUUGUUAUCACAACCAGUAAACGAGGUCAUUCUGUUGCGUACUUUGGUCAAAGAAAGAGAAAGAUGGAGUCCCCUAGAAAUGAAAAUAAGCUGAAUGGAAUUUCGUUUUCAAGGAAGAAGAGUCCGAAGCUUACUUAUGCCGGAGAGUUCUGAUGAAUCACCAAAGAAAAGAAAAACUCAAAGUUCUAAUAGUGGCCUGGGUGCAGUGUAUUCGAAUUAUCAACAGUGCUCCUCAAAUAAAGAAAAUAAAAGAAGAAGAUUUUACUUUCUAUGAGUACCCACAGUAUCUUCAAGCAGAACAAUGGAUAUUGAUCAGACCAGACAGUCUGGAGAAUUUACCAUGGAUAGAAGUAACAAAAGUGACAGCAACACAUUCGAUUGGUUUAAUGGAUAUUUUGGGCAGGAGUAGCAGACUGGUACAUUGAUUCCAAAAUCUUGAACAAACAACAACUGAACAAAUUCUUGUCUCUUUUAAGUGGGAUAAUGUUAAUCUUUAAAAAAUGCCAGCACAAUUGAAAUUAAUAUGGGAUAGUUGAAAGAAGAAAUUUCAAAAUGAUACAUAUUAUCACAAUGUUG